AAAGGAUUUGAGUGAAAAAAUAAUCCGAUUAAUUUCCCUACACCGAAUCCUCCGCUGACCACCGCCGGCGAGACCUAGGUUUCCGGCGAUGGGCUCUACGGAGAACCCUAAUUGGUUCUUGGAGUCCUUGAUCGACGACAUCCCCGUUUCCGAGGGCGAUUUUGCAGGGACCAACGGUGGCUUUUAUUGGACUGCUCAGGGAUUCAACUCUUCCUCUAGCGUCAGGCUACAUCUACUGGAGCUGGGUUUACCAAAUGCUUAUGGUUCCUAAUGCUAAUUCAGUUCAUUUGCAAAUUCUGGUAGCAUCAAAGAACCAGUUAAUGGAAAGCGUGCUAGGUCAGAAACUUGUGCUAAACCUGCUACCAAAGCUUGUAGAGAAAAAAUGAGGAGGGACAAGUUGAAUGACAGAUUCAUGGAAUUGGCCUAUCUUCUGGAACCUGGAAAGCAGGCAAAAACUGAUAAAUCGGCAAUUCUAAGUGAGGCUACUUGUAUGUUGACUCAGCUCCGCAAUGAGGUACAAAAGCUUAAAGAAUUAAAUGGAACUCUUGAGGAGAAGACAAAAGAAUUUAAGGGUAACGUCGAGCCUGAGGUAACCGGUCCGGUCCAAAAUUUCUCACCGGUCACCAAGAUAAAUCGGGAAGAACUUGCGACGGAUAGCUCAGAAGCCAAGCAUCUCUCGCCAUGAAAACUACUGGUUAUUGCGUUUCACAUUAAAUGAUUCUCAAGAUUUAUUACUUCUUUCCCAGCCUCAUGCAAAUACAGUUUUGGCAUACUUAAUGAUUGCAUUUAAGUUUUUUUCUAAUGGUUUUUGUUAUUGGAAAGGUUGGUACUGAUGGCCUCAUGCAUUUUGAUAGGAUGGUAGCAAUGACAUUCCUUAGUCCUUACAGCCAAAAUUUGUUAUAUGCUAUUCUAUUGUUCUAUUAACAAUCUAUCAGUUAUUUGAAUAAUGUUCUUCAGGCCGAGAAGAAUGAACUCCGUGAAGAGAAGCAGAAGCUGAAGGCAGAAAAAGAAAGCUUAGAGCAGCAAAUCAAACUUCUGAAUACAAGGUCUAGUAUCUAUGCUGCUCAUCCGCCCGUUAUACCUACCCCCUUCACAGUUCCUGGUCAACCUGCUGGGCACAAGUUAAUCAUGCCGAUCAUUGGUUACCCUAGCUAUCCAAUGUGGCAAUUCAUGCCCCCUGCCGAUGUCGAUAUAUCACUGGAUGCUGAUAAAUGGCCACCUGUUGCCUAAGCAAACGAACGAUUAAAAAAAACAAAAAGUCCAAAUAUGUUAGAAUUGCAGAUGAUUUCAUCAUCAAUUUAAGUUGCCGAAAACUUCAUGGGCAUGCAUGUUUCAGCUUUAAGUUGCCGAAAACUUCAUAGGCAUGCAUGUUUCAGCUUUAUGCCUUUCCCGUAAGAUAUAGAUAUCACCUAUAAAUAAA